AACGAACGCUGGCGGCAUGCCUAACACAUGCAAGUCGAACGAAGUCUUCGGACUUAGUGGCGCACGGGUGCGUAACGCGUGGGAAUCUGCCCUUGGGUGCGGAAUAACUUCUCGAAAGGGAUGCUAAUGCCGCAUAAUGUCGUAAGACCAAAGAUUUAUCGCCCAAGGAUGAGCCCGCGUAAGAUUAGCUAGUUGGAGGGGUAAAAGCCUACCAAGGCGACGAUCUUUAGCUGGUCUGAGAGGAUGAUCAGCCACACUGGGACUGAGACACGGCCCAGACUCCUACGGGAGGCAGCAGUGGGGAAUAUUGGACAAUGGGGGCAACCCUGAUCCAGCGAUGCCGCGUGUGUGAAGAAGGCCUGAGGGUUGUAAAGCACUUUAGUUGGGGAGGAAGAAUCUAGAUAUGAAUAAGAUUUAGAAGUGACGUUACCCAAAGAAUAAGCACCGGCUAACUCUGUGCCAGCAGCCGCGGUAAU
rnacentral:rRNA from 1 species